UACAGAGGGUGCAAGCGUUGUUCGGAAUUAUUGGGCGUAAAGCGCGUGUAGGCGGCUUUUGCAAGUCGGGGUGUGAAAAUCCCUCGGCUCAAACCGAGGAAGUGCGCCCGAAACUGCAGAGCUUUGAGUACUGGAGAGGAUGGUGGAAUUCCCCAAGUAGAGGUGAAAUUCGUAGAUAUGGGGGAGGAACACCGGUGGCGAAGGCGACCAUCUGGACAGAUACUGACGCUGAGACGCGAAAAGCGUGGGGGAGCAAACAGG
rnacentral:rRNA from 1 species